rnacentral:snRNA from 1 species
UGUCCUCCAUAGGAGGUCUAUAUUGAGCAGAUUCUUUUUGGUAUUGGGUGGUGGAACCGGAGCGUGCUCCGUCCACUCCAUGCAUUGACCUGGUAUUGCAGUGCUUCCAGGACCGGUGC